ensembl:snRNA U2 U2 spliceosomal RNA
AUCGCUUCUCAGUCUUUUGGCUAAGAUCAAGUGUAGUUAUCUGUUCUUAUUAGUUUAAUAUCUGAUACGUCCUCUAUCCGAGGACAAUAUAUUAAAUGGAUUUUUGGAAAUAGGAGUUGGAAUAGGAGCUUUCUCUGUGUACUCCAUGCAUUGACCUGGUAUUGCAGUACUUUCAGGAAUGGUACACUUCCU